UGGGAAUAUUGGACAAUGGGCGCAAGCCUGAUCCGGCCAUGCCGCGUGAGUGAUGAAAGGGCCCUUUAGGGUUGUAAAGCUCUUUUCGGCGGGGGACGAUAAUGACGGUACCCGCAGAAGAAGCCCCGGCUAACUUCGUGCCAGCAGCCGCGGUAAUACGAAGGGGGCUAGCGUUGCUCGGAAUCACUGGGCGUAAAGGGCGCGUAGGCGGACAUUUAAGUCGGGGGUGAAAGCCCAGGGCUCAACCCUGGAAUUGCCUCCGAUACUGGGUGUCUCGAGACCGGAAGAGGUGAGUGGAACUGCGAGUGUAGAGGUGAAAUUCGUAGAUAUUCGCAAGAACACCAGUGGCGAAGGCGGCUCAGCUGUCCGGUUCUGACGCUGAGGCGCGAAAGCGUGGGGAGCAAACAGGAUUAGAUACCCUGGUAGUCCACGCCGUAAACGAUGGAUGCUAGCCGUUGGCAGGCUUGCCUGUCAGUGGCGCAGCUAACGCUUUAAGCAUCCCGCCUGGGGAGUACGGCCGCAAGGUU
rnacentral:rRNA from 1 species